rnacentral:rRNA from 1 species
GCGGCGUGCCUAAUACAUGCAAGUCGAGCGAACAGACAAGGAGCUUGCUCCUUUGACGUUAGCGGCGGACGGGUGAGUAACACGUGGGUAACCUACCUAUAAGACUGGGAUAACUUCGGGAAACCGGAGCUAAUACCGGAUAAUAUUUCGAACCGCAUGGUUCGAUAGUGAAAGAUGGUUUUGCUAUCACUUAUAGAUGGACCCGCGCCGUAUUAGCUAGUUGGUAAGGUAACGGCUUACCAAGGCGACGAUACGUAGCCGACCUGAGAGGGUGAUCGGCCACACUGGAACUGAGACACGGUCCAGACUCCUACGGGAGGCAGCAGUAGGGAAUCUUCCGCAAUGGGCGAAAGCCUGACGGAGCAACGCCGCGUGAGUGAUGAAGGUCUUCGGAUCGUAAAACUCUGUUAUUAGGGAAGAACAUACGUGUAAGUAACUAUGCACGUCUUGACGGUACCUAAUCAGAAAGCCACGGCUAACUACGUGCCAGCAGCCGCGGUAAUACGUAGGUGGCAAGCGUUAUCCGGAAUUAUUGGGCGUAAAGCGCGCGUAGGCGGUUUUUUAAGUCUGAUGUGAAAGCCCACGGCUCAACCGUGGAGGGUCAUUGGAAACUGGAAAACUUGAGUGCAGAAGAGGAAAGUGGAAUUCCAUGUGUAGCGGUGAAAUGCGCAGAGAUAUGGAGGAACACCAGUGGCGAAGGCGACUUUCUGGUCUGUAACUGACGCUGAUGUGCGAAAGCGUGGGGAUCAAACAGGAUUAGAUACCCUGGUAGUCCACGCCGUAAACGAUGAGUGCUAAGUGUUAGGGGGUUUCCGCCCCUUAGUGCUGCAGCUAACGCAUUAAGCACUCCGCCUGGGGAGUACGACCGCAAGGUUGAAACUCAAAGGAAUUGACGGGGACCCGCACAAGCGGUGGAGCAUGUGGUUUAAUUCGAAGCAACGCGAAGAACCUUACCAAAUCUUGACAUCCUUUGACAACUCUAGAGAUAGAGCCUUCCCCUUCGGGGGACAAAGUGACAGGUGGUGCAUGGUUGUCGUCAGCUCGUGUCGUGAGAUGUUGGGUUAAGUCCCGCAACGAGCGCAACCCUUAAGCUUAGUUGCCAUCAUUAAGUUGGGCACUCUAAGUUGACUGCCGGUGACAAACCGGAGGAAGGUGGGGAUGACGUCAAAUCAUCAUGCCCCUUAUGAUUUGGGCUACACACGUGCUACAAUGGACAAUACAAAGGGCAGCGAAACCGCGAGGUCAAGCAAAUCCCAUAAAGUUGUUCUCAGUUCGGAUUGUAGUCUGCAACUCGACUACAUGAAGCUGGAAUCGCUAGUAAUCGUAGAUCAGCAUGCUACGGUGAAUACGUUCCCGGGUCUUGUACACACCGCCCGUCACACCACGAGAGUUUGUAACACCCGAAGCCGGUGGAGUAACCAUUUGGAGCUAGCCGUCGAAGGUGG